UCACUGGCCAGGUUAAAAGGUUCCUGACAUCAGCAUCAUCCUAAUAUCUUCUAUGUUCAUAGAUUUCACACAGGCAGUUUUUCUGUUCACAGAAGGAUAGCCUUUUCUGGUGUCACACCGGAUGCUCUGAAAGCUAGAAAUCUAACAAUGAAGCCACCCACAAAAUCCUCUGGGAAAAAAGGAACAUGGAUUUGAAUACACACAUAUGGAGUUCACCACCCCUCAAACAAGAGAGUUUCAGCUUGACCACUCCACUGCAAAAGCAUUCCAGGUACUAAGGGGCAUGAAGACACCUCCGAGGCCUGUACCAGGAUAAAAAGUUCACAUCACACAGAUGGCACAAGAAAAUUCUUUCAGUCUUUGCAACUCUGAACUACAUCAAGAUGUUAACUGUGGUGAUUUGAAGAAAUACAAAGAGAAACCAGAAGAGGUUAUCCCUACAGUUGAAUUAACACAGCCCUUUAAGGGUCAAGAACCUUUAAUACUAGCACAACCACUGCUGCAAAUGGUUUGUACAAUACCUCCAUUAGUGCCCACAUAUGCAGGGUAUUUUAACUCAUCUGUGCUACGGGCUUUAAUUUGGCUUCUCUUGUUCAGGAGCAAAAUCAUUAUCCAAGACACAAAAAUAGAAUUACCCGACAACUAAGAAGCAGCCAGUCUCCCUUUUUACUACCAGUUUGCAUAUCAGUCCCUAUUUUCAAAGGAAGCAAAAAUAGAUCCACAGACAAUUUUUUUCACUAAAAAAUGCAUAUUAAGUUUUAGCAUGCGGCUUUAAUGCACAAAGCACUCAGCAUGCAAAGCAGCCAAAUAUGUGGAUUGAAGAAUCCCUAAGUACUUAUCCGCAAGACUAAUACUAAUGGCUUCCAAGCUCUUUGUGAAAAGUCUCUUAAUAUUUAUUUAUAUCGUCAUCUGCAUUUCAAAAUGCCUCAAUAUUAUGAUAUUAUGAAUGUUAAUACAUUUUAUAAAGUGCACUGACUGUAUAGGAUUGAGACCAGGAAUCAUUAUGACCUAUAUUGAGUGUUAUACAGGAAAUAAAUGUUUGUCAGACGUAUAAAGAAUUAAGAAGGAAAAAUCCAUACAACUACAGAAAAGAUACUGAAAUUACUCAGAAAUCUCUUGUUCACUCAUCCAGCUGAAAUGUGAAGUAACCUGUGUCCACUUUAGUAGUGGACAGACCACUGGACUGGGACUCAGGGGACUUGAGAUGUAUUCCCAGGCCUGCUGCAUGACCUUGAUCUCUCUGUGUCUCAAUUUCCUCAUCAAUAAAAUAGGGAUAAGGACACUGACCUCUUUUGGAAUAAAAUAAAGGAAAAUACUUUCCUGUCAUGGAUUUAAUUCUAUGCCCCCUGAAGUCAACAGCUAAACUCAGUGAUUUCAAUGGUGUGGAGUCAGCCCCCAUAUUAAUGCUACACAAUACUUACCUAUCUAUAGUGAGGCUUUGUUCCCUGCUUGGAAAAACAAAACAAUCUGGCAUCCUUGCAAAGCAGCAGGAAGUACUUUUUACUGAUGAGACUAACACUAU